GGUGGAGUCGUCGUUGAAAUACCACUCUGGUCGUGCUGGAUGUCUAACCUGGGUCCGUGAUCCGGAUCAGGGACAGUGUCUGGUGGGUAGUUUAACUGGGGCGGUUGCCUCCUAAAGGGUAACGGAGGCGCCCAAAGGUUCCCUCAGCCUGGUUGGCAAUCAGGUGUUGAGUGUAAGUGCACAAGGGAGCUUGACUGUGAGACUGACGGGUCGAGCAGGUACGAAAGUAGGGACUAGUGAUCCGGCGGUGGCUUGUGGAAGCGCCGUCGCUCAACGGAUAAAAGGUACCCCGGGGAUAACAGGCUGAUCUUCCCCAAGAGUCCAUAUCGACGGGAUGGUUUGGCACCUCGAUGUCGGCUCGUCGCAUCCUGGGGCUGGAGUAGGUCCCAAGGGUUGGGCUGUUCGCCCAUUAAAGCGGUACGCGAGCUGGGUUUAGAACGUCGUGAGACAGUUCGGUCCCUAUCCGCUGUGCGCGUAGGAGUGUUGAGAAGGGCUGUCCCUAGUACGAGAGGACCGGGACGGACGAACCUCUGGUGUGCCAGUUGUUCUGCCAAGGGCAUGGCUGGUUGGCUACGUUCGGGAGGGAUAACCGCUGAAAGCAUCUAAGCGGGAAGCCUGCUUCGAGAUGAGCACUCCCACCUCCUUGAGAGGGUAAGGCUCCCAGUAGACGACUGGGUUGAUAGGCCGGAUAUGGAAGCCCUGUGAGGGGUGGAGUUGACCGGUACUAAUAGGCCGAGGGCUUGUCCUC
rnacentral:rRNA from 1 species